ACACGUAGGAUGCAAGCGUUAUUCGGAUUUACUGGGCGUAAAGCGCGUGUAGGCGGGUAGGAGAGUUGGAUGUGAAAGCUCCCGGCUUAACUGGGAGAGGUCGUUCAAAACUUCCCACCUAGAGUAUGGUAGAGGAAAAUGGAAUUCCGGGUGUAGUGGUGAAAUGCGCAGAUAUCCGGAGGAACACCAGUGGCGAAAGCGAUUUUCUGGACCAAUACUGACGCUCAGACGCGAAAGCUAGGGUAGC
rnacentral:rRNA from 1 species